rnacentral:rRNA from 1 species
CCUACGGGAGGCAGCAGUGAGGAAUAUUGGUCAAUGGCCGCAAGCCUGAACCAGCCAAGUAGCGUGAAGGAUGACUGCCCUAAGCGUUGUAAACUUCUUUUAUCAAGGAAUAAAGUGAGGCACGUGUGCCUGUUUGUGUGUACUUUAUGAAUAAGCAUCGGCUAACUCCGUGCCAGCAGCCGCGGUAAUACGGAGGAUCCGAGCGUUAUCCGGAUUUAUUGGGUUUAAAGGGAGCGUAGGUGGGUUGUUAAGUCAGUGGUGAAAGUUUGCGGCUCAACCGUAAAAUUGCAAUUGAUACUGGCUGUCUUGAGUACAGUUGAGGUAGGCGGAAUUCGUGGUGUAGCGGUGAAAUGCUUAGAUAUCACGAAGAACUCCGAUUGCGAAGGCAGCUUACUAAACUGCAACUGACAUUGAUGCUCGAAAGUGUGGGUAUCAAACAGGAUUAGAUACCCGAGUAGUC